GGACCUUUCGUUGCUUAUAUUACAUAGGCCAUAAAUAAUAGUCUUCGUAUCUUAUUUGUGCAUCAAGGCAGAAACAACAGAGUCACCACUAAACGACGGCCCGUUCCUUCACCUUCAAGCUGGAAACCCUAGUACAACACAACAUAUCCCAGUCCGAAACAACGAUGAAUUUCGUAUUACAUAUCCACAACCAAGCCCACCGUUUCUUUCGACAGACUUACGCGACAACCGGGUACGAUGCACAUGUUGCAACACCUGCAAUCCAGAUCAUUGAAAUCAAUAAGAAGCUACAACUCACUUUCCAGCCAAAAACAUAUCUCACAUUUAUUAGUUUAGCAAUCCGAAAAACUUACCACACAUGUUCUUCCCAUACUCCAUCUUGAAGUAGCCAUUGUCGCCCCAGCUUUCUCCCCAAGAGUUCUUGAUGAGCCAGUACGGGACGCCGCCUUCCACUCCGUACCCAACUGCAAGAACUGCAUGGUUCACAUCCUACAAACAUACACGAGAUUAGGAUAACAUUUUGCUUAAUUUUGGAAAUACAAAUAGAUUAAGACUAAAUCAAAAGUUAAAACUCACCAUGGGGCCGGUGCCGCAUGUGUCACUGGUGUAAACUCCCGACUUGUAAAAGCGGA
rnacentral:lncRNA from 1 species